rnacentral:rRNA from 1 species
AACGAACGCUGGCGGCAGGCCUAACACAUGCAAGUCGAGCGGACCUUUCGGGGUCAGCGGCGGACGGGUGAGUAACGCGUGGGAAUAUGCCCUUCUCUACGGAAUAGUCCUGGGAAACUGGGGGUAAUACCGUAUACGCCCUUUGGGGGAAAGAUUUAUCGGGGAAGGAUUAGCCCGCGUUGGAUUAGGUAGUUGGUGGGGUAAUGGCCUACCAAGCCGACGAUCCAUAGCUGGUUUGAGAGGAUGAUCAGCCACACUGGGACUGAGACACGGCCCAGACUCCUACGGGAGGCAGCAGUGGGGAAUCUGAGACAAUGGGGGCAACCCUGAUCUAGCCAUGCCGCGGGAGUGAUGAAGGCCUUAGGGUUGUAAAGCUCUUUCAGCGGGGAAGAUAAUGACGGGACCAGCAGAAGAAGCCCCGGCUAACUCCGU